rnacentral:misc_RNA from 1 species
AGAAUCUCUGGAAGACUUUCGGGUGACGCCCAGGUUCCAGGGCCUCCCACCGGUGUGCACGCUUCCGAGAUCAGCAGAAACUAUGUCGUCCUCAGCUGGGAGCCACCCACUCCCCGUGGCAAGGACCCGCUCAUGUACUUCAUUGAGAAGUCGGUGGUGGGGAGCGGCAGCUGGCAGAGAGUCAACGCCCAGACGGCUGUGAGAUCCCCGAGAUAUGCCGUGUUUGACCUCAUGGAAGGGAAGUCUUAUGUGUUCCGAGUGCUGUCAGCAAACCGGCAUGGCCUGAGCGAACCUUCGGAGAUAACGUCCCCCAUUCAGGCCCAGGAUGUGACCGUUGUCCCUUCUGCUCCGGGUCGGGUUCUUGCUUCCCGAAACACCAAGACGUCGGUGGUGGUGCAGUGGGACCGACCUAAGCAUGAGGAGGACCUGCUGGGCUACUACGUGGACUGCUGUGUGGCCGGAACCAACCUCUGGGAGCCCUGCAACCACAAGCCCAUUGGAUACAACAGGUUCGUGGUGCACGGCUUAACCACGGGAGAGCAGUACAUCUUCCGAGUCAAGGCGG